CCCUUUUUCCCCUUCGCAUCCUCCAGCGGCGCCAUAUGAUCCACCAGCAAGGGAGGACGCCAAUGAAAGGUGUCCAAUAAGAUAAGUCUUAUAAAAUAUAUAGAUUUAUGAUAAUUAAGACUGAACUAGCAGAUGAGAAAUCCUAGUCAUCGGCCAAGCAGCAUUUGUACAUAAUAUAAGUCUCUGUAUAAUUUUGUCCAUCCACGUGCGGGCAGAACUCAGGUGGCUGGCAGAGACCGCCCAUGUGGUAGGGCUUGUGCAGCUUUUGGUGGAAAGAUUUAUCAUAACAAGGACUAUUACACAGAGAACCCUGUCUUGAAAAAACACAGAGAGAGAGAGAGAGAGAGAGAGAGAGAGAGAGAGAGAGAGAGAAAGAGAGAGAGAGAGAGAGAGAGAGAGAGAGAGAAGCCCAGAGUAAAAGGUAGAUGGGAUAAUUUAAGAAAAACUGGCUAGAAACAAGUCAAGCUAAGGCUGGGCAUUCAUAAUAAAAAAUAAACCUCCAUGUUAUUUAUUUGAGAGCUGGAUGUCAGGCCACAAAAGAGCAAAAAGUAAAGAGCAAAAAGUAAAAACAACCCAUUACACAGGAGCAUACAUCUACACAUAUACCUACAUACAUCUAUACGCACACUCACAAAUGUACAUACACAUGAAAACACACAGAGAAAAAGUAAAAGGCUUUGUGUGGAUUGAGCCAAACCAUAGUAAAUACUGUCAUUAAAGCAAAAUUAGUCCAGGUUUUCAAUUCCAGAGAUGCCAGAUAGCUGAGGUCAUGGCUGUCUUGUUAUUGAGUGUGAACUAAUCAGAGCAAAGGUUAUGCAGUGCUCCUAUUCCCAGACACUGAGUCACCAGUGACCCAGCAUGUAUCAUUUUGCUCUAUUUGUGUCUUGGAACCUAAUGUAGAAUGCACCCUCACACAAUCCCUCAGGGAAAUCACAGGAGCGCUGUUAAUUAAUGUUUGGAAAAUAGCCUAAUUUGUAUAUGUCUAGCCUUCUGAAACAUGACAUCAAUGCGUUUGAGAUGUAGAGUUAAUUAAUUAAAUUAGUCAACUACAACUCCAGGCAUACUUAAUAUUUGUUAAGCUACAUUCUGAUGCAGGAGUUUGCUUUUUGAGACAGGGUUUCUCUUUGUAACCUUGGCUGUUCUGGAACUUGUUUUGUAGACCAAGCUGGUCUCGAGUUCACCAAGUGCUGGGAUUAAAGGUGUGUACCACCAUCACCUUUUUUAAAAAAGAUUUAUUUAUUUAUUAUGUAUACAGUGUUCUGCCUGCAUAUAUGCCUACACGCCAGUUCUCAUUAUAGAUGGUUGUUAGCCGCCAUGUGGUUGCUGAGAAUUGAAUUCAGGACCUCUGGAAGAGCAACCAGUACUCUUAACCUGAGUCAUCUCUCCACCCCUACCUGCCACCACAGCUGCUUUUGAAGUAAUAGUCACAGAAGGCUUCUGAGGAGACAUAGCCCCUUGCCUGGGGAUGUAGCUCUGUAGUGCCCAAAUUCUGAAGCCCAAAAUCAUGAAGAAACCCAUUCCAAUGCAAAAGCAAAGAGUCUUUUAUUAUUAACAAGCUAACUGUAUUAUCUCUGUCCAUCCCACACUGUGGGUGCAGUGAGAAAGACCUAGAGGGGCUGAGAGGCAGGGAAUAUAUUGGGGUGAGCAAGGGGAGUGUCUAGAGAUAUGCAACAGUCUCAGGACUGGUACACUUCCAGGCUUGGGUGACCUGUCCUGUGUUGAUUGGUCAACUGGUUGCUAUGGCCAAUAGGCCCUCCCAGGGUGGUUGCUAUGCUCUGCAAGCCACUGCUACACCAUUGUUAUCAUAAGACACAUCCAGAGCCCGGAAAGCACUGGCCGGAGCCUACCAGCUAAUGUCUGAUUGGUUUCUUGCCACGUGGAGGCUUCCUGGUGACUGGGAAAGGUCCAGCAAGAUCAGAAGUGCUGAAUCAGAGGCCUACAUCUUGCUGGGUCUUUUCUGUAGCUGGUCAUGACUGCUAAAGCAGGGGGCUGGGUGAGGGUCUGGUCCCUUCAGCUCAAAGUUGAGAUGUGAUCUGUCAGAUUGACUGGCCACCUGUUGCCGUAGCUUCCUCACCGUUAUGGGCAUCUAGCCCUCUGGAACUGCUGGCCAAAACUAACUCUUCUGUAAGUUGCUUUUGGUCUUGGUAUUUAUCACAGAAAGAAAAGGUAACUAAUAUACAUGCUUAACCCCUGGAUUUAAUCCUCAGUCACUCACACACACACAGGGGCGAGGGAUCCCCAGAAAUGAGCCACAAGAGAAGGACACUUUGGGCAGAAGUGGAGCUGGAAUUGUAGCUCAGUGGCCUAGUGCACAUGAAAUCCUGGGUCUGGUGCACAGCACCAGUAUAAACUGGGUGUGGUGGUGCAAAUAUGUGAAACCAGUACUAGGGAGGAUAGAAGUUCAAGGUUAUCCUUUGCCACAUAGAGAGUCUAAGUCCUGGGCUGGAGAUGUUGUCUCACUACCAGCAACAGCAAAAAGGAACAGGUAGUAGAAAACUUACUGAUGUUAAAGGGUUUUACUUUUGUUUUUAUUUUUUAUAUAUAUUUAUUUAUCUUUAGAAGGGGAUGUGUAUGUUACUCUAUGUGUGGAAGUCACAGGACAAUUUAUUGAUGCCCAGUCUCUCCUCCUACCAUGUGGUCCUGCAAAUCAAACUCAAAUUAUUGGGCUUUGGUGGCUACUGUUUGGCUGGAACUUCCAGCUCUCUCCUGCUUGAUCCAGAAAGCCCCAUUCCUUAAUCUCUCUCUCUCUCUCUCUCUCUCUCUCUCUCUCUCUCUCUCUCUCUCUCUCUCCCCAACCCCACCCUCUCAGAGAAUGUCCAACAAAGAAAAGGGACCAAAAAGCUGAGUUCCGCAUUUUUGGCAGCUGCUACAGCUCCUUGCCUGAAGUUGCCAGUCACCCAAGAUCCCACCUAAAGCUGUCAGCUUUUGACUAUAUUUGGGCACAUACCCAUCUUGUGGAGGACUCAUCAUCAACCCUUUACUACAGGGUCUAUAACUUCCAUGCUUUAAUUCAGGUUCAUGGCUUCUCCUGCCUCUUCUCCUUCCUCCAUCUCUGGAGUUGGAGAACUCACCAUGGAGUUGCUUUGCUCAAAUAAACCUGUUCUUUUACUUUUUCAGCUCAGCUUGAUCUGCUUACUGCAUAGGCAGAAAAACCUAUUAUUAUUAUUAUUAUUAUUAUUAUUAUUAUUAUUAUUAUU
ensembl:lncRNA